rnacentral:rRNA from 1 species
AACGAACGCUGGCGGCAUGCCUAACACAUGCAAGUCGAACGAGACCUUCGGGUCUAGUGGCGCACGGGUGCGUAACGCGUGGGAAUCUGCCCUUGGGUUCGGAACAACAGUUGGAAACGACUGCUAAUACCGGAUGAUGACUUCGGUCCAAAGAUUUAUCGCCCAAGGAUGAGCCCGCGUAGGAUUAGCUUGUUGGUGAGGUAAAAGCUCACCAAGGCGACGAUCCUUAGCUGGUCUGAGAGGAUGAUCAGCCAUACUGGGACUGAGACACGGCCCAGACUCCUACGGGAGGCAGCAGUGGGGAAUAUUGGACAAUGGGCGAAAGCCUGAUCCAGCAAUGCCGCGUGAGUGAUGAAGGCCUUAGGGUUGUAAAGCUCUUUUACCCGGGAUGAUAAUGACAGUACCGGGAGAAUAAGCCCCGGCUAACUCCGUGCCAGCCGCCGCCGUAAAAC